rnacentral:rRNA from 1 species
UACGUAGGGUGCAAGCGUUAAUCGGAAUGACUGGGCGUAAAGGGUGUGUAGGCGGUCUGCAAAGUCUGAUGUGAAAUCCCCGGGCUCAACCUGGGAACUGCGUUGGAUACUGGUAGGCUAGAGUACGUAAGAGGGGGGUGGAACUGCGAGUGUAGAGGUGAAAUUCGUAGAUAUUCGCAAGAACACCAGUGGCGAAGGCGGCUCACUGGCCCGGAACUGACGCUGAGGUGCGAAAGCGUGGGGAGCAAACAGG